rnacentral:lncRNA from 1 species
AGAGAGGGGCGGAGCUGUCGACUGAUCACCAUCUGGUGGUGAGUUGGAUCAAGGGGUGGGGGAAGACUCUGGACAGACCUGGUAAACCCAAACGGGUAGUGCGGGUGAACUGGGAACGUCUGGAGGAAGCCCCUGUCCUGGGGAUCUUUAACUCACACCUCCGGCGGAGCUUUUCAGCCAUCCCUGUGGAGGUUGGGGGCAUUGAACCUGAGUGGGCGAUGUUCAAAACCUCUAUUGCUGAAGCUGCGGUGAUGAGCUGUGGUCUCAAGGUCUUAGGUGCCUCAAGGGGCGGUAACCCUCGAACACCGUGGUGGACCCCGGUGGUCAGGGAAGCCGUCCGACUGAAGAAGGAGUCCUUCCGGGUUAUGUUAUCCGGGAGGACUCCGGAAACAGUUGCAGGGUAUCGAAGGACUAGAAGGGCGGCAGCUUCUGCCGUGUCAGAGGCAAAGCAGCGGGUGUGGGAGAAGUUCGGAGAAGCUAUGGAGAAGGACUUUCGGUCGGCACCAAGGUGCUUCUGGAAAACCAUCCGGCACCUCAGGAGGGGGAAGCAAGGAACCAUCCAAGCUGUGUACAGCAAGGGUGGGACCCUGCUGACUUCAACUGAGAAGGUUAUCGGCCGGUGGAAGGAGCACUUUGAGGAACUCCUGAAUCCGACUAACACGCCCUCUAUGGUUGAGGCAGAGCUGGAAGCUGAUGGGGGAUCAUCGUCAAUUUCCCUGAUGGAAGUCACUGAGGUAGUCAAAAAACUCCACAGUGGCAAAGCCGCAGGGGUUGAUGAGAUCCGUCCAGAAAUGCUGAAGGCUUUGGGUGUUGAGGGGCUGUCUUGGUUGACACGCCUCGUCAACAUUGCGUGGAAGUCUGGGACAGUGCCUAGGGGUUGGCAGACCGGGGUGGUGGUUCCCCUAUUUAAAAAGGGGGACCAGAGAGUGUGUGCCAACUACAGGGGUAUCACACUUCUCAGCCUCCCUGGUAAAGUCUACUCCAAGGUACUGGAAAGGAGGGUUCGGCCGGUAGUCGAACCUCUGAUUGAAGAGGAACAAUGCGGAUUCCGUCCUGGUCGUGGAA